GAUGAACGCUGGCGGCGUGCCUAAUACAUGCAAGUCGAGCGAACGGACGAGGAGCUUGCUCCUUUGACGUUAGCGGCGGACGGGUGAGUAACACGUGGAUAACCUACCUAUAAGACUGGGAUAACUUCGGGAAACCGGAGCUAAUACCGGAUAAUAUAUUUAACCGCAUGGUUCAAUAGUGAAAGACGGUUUUGCUUUCACUUAUAGAUGGAUCCCCGCCGCAUUAGCAAGUUGGUAAGUUAACGGCUUACCAAGGCAACGAUGCGUAGCCGACCUGAGAGGGUGUUCGGCAACACUGGACCUGAGCCACGGCCCAGACUCCUACGGGAGGCAGAAGAAGGGAAUCUUCCGCAAUGGGCGAAAGCCUGACGGAGCAACGCCGCGUGAGUGAUGAAGGUCUUCGGAUCGUAAACCUCUGUUAUUAGGGAAGAACAAAUGUGUAAGUAACUAUGCACGUAUUGACGGUACCUACUCAGAAAGCCACGGCUAACUACGUG
rnacentral:rRNA from 1 species